rnacentral:rRNA from 1 species
CCUACGGGUGGCUGCAGUGGGGAAUAUUGGACAAUGGGGGGAACCCUGAUCCAGCCAUGCCGCGUGUGUGAAGAAGGCCCUCGGGUUGUAAAGCACUUUCAGUGAGGAAGAACGCCUGGUGGUUAAUACCCAUCAGGAAAGACAUCACUCACAGAAGAAGCACCGGCUAACUCCGUGCCAGCAGCCGCGGUAAUACGGAGGGUGCGAGCGUUAAUCGGAAUUACUGGGCGUAAAGCGCGCGUAGGUGGCUUGAUAAGCCGGUUGUGAAAGCCCCGGGCUCAACCUGGGAACGGCAUCCGGAACUGUCAAGCUAGAGUGCAGGAGAGGAAGGUAGAAUUCCCGGUGUACCGGUGAAAUGCGUAGAGAUCGGGAGGAAUACCAGUGGCGAAGGCGGCCUUCUGGACUGACACUGACACUGAGGUGCGAAAGCGUGGGUAGCAAACAGGAUUAGAUACCAUUGUAGUC